rnacentral:rRNA from 1 species
UACAGAGGGUGCAAGCGUUGUUCGGAAUUACUGGGCGUAAAGGGCGCGUAGGUGGCCCGGUCAGUUCGUGGUGAAAGCGCGGGGCUCAACCCUGCGUCGGCCAUGAAUACUGCCGCGGCUGGAGCACUGUAGAGGCAGGCGGAAUUCCGGGUGUAGCGGUGGAAUGCGCAGAUAUCGGGAAGAACACCCGUGGCGAAGGCGGUUCUCUGGGACGGUACUGACGCUGAGACGCGAAAGCGUGGGGAGCGAACAGG